ensembl:snRNA U6 U6 spliceosomal RNA
AUGCUCACUUUAGCAGCACAUAUACUGAAAUUGGAAUGACACACAGAAGAUUGGCAUGGCCCCUGUGCAAGGAUGACAUGCAAAUUCAUGAAGUGUUCCAUAUUUUU